rnacentral:rRNA from 1 species
UACGUAGGAUGCAAGUGUUAUCCGGAAUCACUGGGCGUAAAGCGUCUGUAGGUGGUUUAAAAAGUCCACUGUUAAAAAUUGAAGCUUAACUUCAAAGAUGCCGUGGAAACUUUUAAACUUGAGUAUGAUAGGGGUAGAGGGAAUUUCCAGUGUAGCGGUUAAAUGCGUAGAUAUUGGAAAGACCACCAAUGGCGAAGGCACUCUACUGGGCCAUUACUGACACUGAGAGCCGAAAGCUAGGGUAGCUAAUGGG